CAGCAGCCGCGGUAAUACGUAGGGUGCAAGCGUUAAUCGGAAUUACUGGGCGUAAAGCGUGCGCAGGCGGUUGUGUAAGUCUGAUGUGAAAGCCCCGGGCUCAACCUGGGAACUGCAUUGGAGACUGCACGGCUAGAGUGCGUCAGAGGGGGGUAGAAUUCCGCGUGUAGCAGUGAAAUGCGUAGAGAUGCGGAGGAAUACCGAUGGCGAAGGCAGCCCCCUGGGAUGACACUGACGCUCAUGCACGAAAGCGUGGGGAGCAAACAGGAUUAGAUACCCCUGUAGUCCCUGUCUCUUAUAC
rnacentral:rRNA from 1 species